AUUUCCUUAAUGUUUUGCUCUAAUUUCUCCUACAAUGUUUGUUACUCUCACACACUUUCCCAUAAAUUCAACCAGAUUCAUCCAUUUCUUUUAGAAGAAAGAUCUAAAUCAAUCUCCAUUGAUUUCUCCAUUUGAAUUUUAAAAUAAAAUCAUACAACUUGGUGUACUAUAAAUACCACUAGUUCUAUACAUUGAGAUCAAGACUUUUGAUCAUUACUCUUCAUCACUUCCAUAACUUUUCUUUUGCUGUGAUAUACUGCAUUCACUGCUCUUCGGCCACUUCUUUGCUUAUUUCAAGCCAGAGCAAAGUUUGUUUUCUU
rnacentral:lncRNA from 1 species